UACAGAGGUGGCAAGCGUUGUUCGGAAUUACUGGGCGUAAAGGGCGCGUAGGCGGUUCGUUAAGUCCUGUGUGAAAUCCCCCGGCUCAACUGGGGAACUGCACAGGAAACUAGCGGGCUUGAGUUCGGGAGAGGGAAGCGGAAUUCCGGGUGUAGCGGUGAAAUGCGUAGAUAUCCGGAGGAACACCGGUGGCGAAAGCGCUCUGCUAGGCCGCAACUGACACUGAGGGACGAAAGCUAGGGGAGCGAAUGGG
rnacentral:rRNA from 1 species